UGAUUGAACGUGCUUUGGGUCCUCCCUUG
rnacentral:piRNA from 1 species